GACGAACGCUGGCGGCGUGCUUAACACAUGCAAGUCGAACGGAAAGGCCCUGCUUUUGUGGGGUGCUCGAGUGGCGAACGGGUGAGUAACACGUGAGUAACCUGCCCUUGACUUUGGGAUAACUUCAGGAAACUGGGGCUAAUACCGGAUAGGAGCUCCUGCUGCAUGGUGGGGGUUGGAAAGUUUCGGCGGUUGGGGAUGGACUCGCGGCUUAUCAGCUUGUUGGUGGGGUAGUGGCUUACCAAGGCUUUGACGGGUAGCCGGCCUGAGAGGGUGACCGGCCACAUUGGGACUGAGAUACGGCCCAGACUCCUACGGGAGGCAGAAGUGGGGAAUAUUGCACAAUGGGCGGAAGCCUGAUGCAGCAACGCCGCGUGCGGGAUGACGGCCUUCGGGUUGUAAACCGCUUUCGCCUGCGACGAAGCGUGAGUGACGGUAAUGGGUAAAGAAGCACCGGCUAACUACGUG
rnacentral:rRNA from 1 species